rnacentral:lncRNA from 1 species
CUUACAUGUUUUGUUGUUGUUGUUGCUUGCUUUUUGGGACAAGAUCUCACUCUGUAGCCCAGGUUGGAGUGCAGUGUCCCAUCAUAGCUCACUGCAGCCUUGACGUCCUGAGCUCAAGCAAUCCUCCCACCUCAGCUUCCGGGAUAGCUGAGACCACAGGCACAAGCCACCAUGCCCAGCUUAUUCUUUUUGGAGAUAUGGGGUCCCACUAUGUUGCCCAGGCUGGCCUCCAACUCCUGAGCUCAAGCGAUCCUCUCCUGCCUUGGCUUCCCAAAGUGCUGGGAUCACAGGCGUGAGCCACUGUGCAGGCCUUAUAUGAUCUUAAGCCUCUUCAUAUCCUGAACUAAAUGUAACUUUCCAGUUUCGGCACUUGUUCUGGCACUUUUCCUCCCUCGCUAGAUAAUACUAAUCUUUAAUCAUGUAGUUUGUUUCCAUGCCCAUACUACCCUAUCUGCUUAUAGUGUCUUCCACUUCGCCCAAGAAAUCCUACUCAGCUAGCUUGUGUUGUUUUGAGACACUCUCGUUCUGUCGCCCACGCUGGAGUACAGUGGCGAGAUCUCGGUUCGUUGCAACCUCUUCAUCCCGGGUUCAAGCGAUUCUCGGCCCUACUCAGCCUUUAAAACCGGAAUCACGGGUCAAAACUUUCUGGUAAACCACGAGACGGUUUAGGUUAUGAAAUUCAAUGCCCCCUUCCUCUGAAGUCCUGCAAAUCUCCAGUAAAGCACCACAGAUUGACGAAUAUUCCAGCCAUUUCCCUCUCCCCUCCGAUAGCUCCAUUUCUCACUUCUAUCCAUCUUCUCGAGCUUCCUCAGCUCCUCCACCUCCAUGAGGCCUGGAAAGCACCUGGUUCCAGGAAUGUGAGUCGGAGGCUCAGAGCUACCAGCGCCAAAAGCUGACGUUCAGAUACUGCUGAAACAAACCACAAGAGUGCUAAGGCUCCAGGUAAUAGUCCGGCUCCAGGUAAUAGUCCAGCUGGGAUGACGGUAGGAACUCACAGGCCCGCCGGCGGUGCAUGCCGGGAGAUACAGUCCCGGGCCGACGCAUUACCUCUUGGGAGUUGUAGUCUUAGAUCUGGUAAACAGACCACAGCAACUCUGAUGUCUUCCCCCACCGUCCCCCGAAAACCCUCGCCCCACCCGCGAGGGACUAGGGUAAGAGUAGGGGCGUUGCCGUGGUUGGCCUAGAACUCCCAGGCUCAGACGAUCCUCUCGCCUCGGCCUCCCGAGUUAGUUGGGACUACGCGCGUGAGCCACCGCGCCCGGCAUAAAGUCUGAAUUAGUCCUUACGCAAAAAGGGAAGAGGGCAGUCCGUAACCUCGCGCAGGAUCAAGCUCUCGAGUUCC